AUGGGCCUUGCCUGAGAACCCAAUUAAAGUUUUCAUAUGUGAGGUUUAGUCCCAUAUUGAAAACUAAUGGUGUGUUGUUGUGAUUUAUAUAUUUCUUCAUUCUCAAGCUAGUUACUUGGGAGAAAAUGAAAGUUAUGCUCUCGACUUAACACACGCACGCACGCAUGGCACGAACACGAGCCGAGCCAAGCCGCGCAGCCGACGGCGCACGUAGUCCAUGCACCCGGUUUAUUUUAUUUUAUUUUUUACUUUUUAUUUUUCGGUUUUAUCUUUAUCUUAAUCCGUAUAUCGUAUAAUCUUAGGCUUAUCUUGUUUUACACAGAAUUG
rnacentral:lncRNA from 1 species